UGCUUAAAUAAAAAAGAUAAUGCCUUGCUAUAACCCAGCAAAUCAGAAUGACAGCAUCAACAAUACUACGACCUCAAGUGCAAUCUGUUCCCAAUCCUAUAGAUGCAACCAUUAACGGGAAAUCUUGAAAGCAUAUUGUCAUCUAUCUUUCUAUGUGUACUGAAAGGCGUUCACCUAGUCUUUUUUUGACAUGCAGGGAGGACUUAUCAGAAAACCUAUUAGAUGGAUAUAAAACUGUAAGUUGCUUCUGCCUGUUCCUUAUAAUUUCUUACCAUGUACAAUUAAGUAUAGUUUGUUAAAUGUGUCUUCUGCUUUGCCUUAUGCAUGCGCCACUGUGAGUGGACGAAGAUCUUGUAACAGUGAAAUUUAUAAAAAUUCUCAUAACUCAUCCUCAGCAGAUGAGCAAAAUUCUAACUGAUAGAUCCUGAUGAAGAUACCACAGUACUGAUUGAUUAAUUAUUGCAUGUAUUCCUCAACUGAAGAAUCGGAAAAUAGUUUCCACUUACAUUCUAAAACUUGCAUGAACACAUUUCUUUUUUCUGAUACAGAGGAACUAUAAAUGGGUUAGUAUUUGUAAGGCUUCCGACCUUUCAAAUUCCAAUUGUCAAAACUAAAAGCGAAGGCAAAAUCCUUCCUAAUUCACAUCUUUGUGGAAAGAAUUUCUUUAGUAAUUCCUUACAUAAGGAUUCAGAAAAUUCCGGAUCUCCACCUACACUAGGAUAGGCUGGUUUGUUUGAAGAGAAUCUUUUCUAUGAUCUAUUAUCAGACCCGAUCAUAUCGCUGUCACAUGCUUUACAUACGCAUCACAACGCAUCACAACGCAUACUUGAUGUCUUAAAUAGAGUAGUGAACCAUCCACAAUUUUCCCUAAUAAAAUUUAGGUUUAACAAGUCCUAUUCAAAUCACGUAUAUAUCAACACUAUCCUAUACUUAGCUAAAUACCAUUGAUGAGUAUUGAAACUUGCAAUUGUAGAUUAUAUACGGGGUACCUGUACUCUGGAGCAAUCGAUAUACUUUUCAAUGGAGGAGAGGGAGACAACAUCCUUGUAGACAUGUCUGUAGAUUUUAAGUAUCUUGUGUUGGCGAUGACUUCCUGAAGAGAUGCAGUACUGACAAGCAGAUGAAUCACAGUUGAUGCAAUACUUAUUUAAGUCAUUCCUACGAAUUGGGCGUGCUGAACAUGAUUGGAAGAAAGUCUUCUGGAGGAAAGAGCUGAGCCAUUCUGGCUGUUGCUUCUUGCGAUGGUUUUGCAUUAUCAGCCUGUUAAAAAGACACGUUGGUUAGACUAUGUACAUUCAACUUUACCCUUUUCUCCCCCUGGUAAAUUUCAUACAAGAAACAAUACAAGAUAAAAUUGGAAUCUAUACAAAUGUUAUUAUCGGGACAGAAGAAUUAAAAUAAUAUGAACCGAAAGAAAUCUAUUAACAUUGUAAAGGAUAUGAGUUUAGCAUUUUGAAGGAUAUCAUAACUCAUAUUCUGGAUAAAAAGCAUGGAUGGGAAGCUGGAGCUCACGAUCUAUUGAAUAAAAGAAUGGUUAUGCCUGCUUCAAGAAAGCUGGUCCUUAUUCAGGGGAUCAAUCCAUUUUGUGGGGAAGUCAGCUUGAGGUUCAGGUAUCUAUGAAACUUAUGUGGAGAUUAUGUUUAUUAUGUCUCACUCUUCUUACUGAGGUUAGUGCUCUUCAUUAUCAUUCAUUGAAAAUUCAGCUUCCUCCUAUCUUGAUUUACUUGCAUUCUUUUUUUUUUUUUUUGUCCAUUUGCUAUGGCCUAAUGAGAAUCUACUUCUACUUCACCCAUCUGUUAUACCUUUUUCAUUGGUCUAAUUUAACCAUUGCUGAUAUAGGUUUUUUUGCUGCCUGAGAGAUUAUAAAGAGAGUCUAAGGGAUAUGAAGUUUAUGUGUCUCCAUCGAGGAACCUUCUCAUUCAGCAAAUUAUGUUACUCAUGGCAAUGAAACAGGAAGGCAUGUAGCUAACUAACAGGCAAAGAUAAUUUUCACGAUAAUGGGUAUUUGUUGGUUUUCAUAGUAUGACGCAAAGCUUUCUUGAGAUAUGCUAAUAUGCAUCAUACAAAGAUAUGCUAAAAGAAAGCUCUUUUCUAUUCUAUAGUGGUCAUUUAUAGAGAAAUGGACAUAUCAUUGACUAUCCGACACGCUCUAUUCCGAGCAAAACGACAACUCUUGGUCUUCACGGUUACAUGGUUCAAAGAUAUCUGGACAUAUGCUCAAAAGAACAAUAGCAAAUGUACACUGAAAUUAAAGCCGUGUAAAUUUUUUGACUCGAUAGUAGGAAGACAGAACUGAGGUUGCAUAUGUGAUAAUUUCUGAUUUGUAUUUCACAUAGAAAGUGAUGUCUAUGGCAUGCUCAUGGAUUUAAGUCAUGUCACAAGACACCGGCAAUACACAUUGUAUGUAGAGGUCUUAGCCGCUUGAGGUUAAAAUAUCUGUUUGAUCUAAUCAUUUGACCUUUGCAGAAGAGAAAAAUCGGAUCUCUUACAUCAUAUUUCGCACUAGUUUUAAUAGCCCUAUGCAUUUUUUAUCCUAUAUCUAUGUGCAGAUGCAAUGAUUUCUUGUGAUAUUAUCAACUCCUGUAUGCCGACUGAUCGUUUAACGACAAAAUCAAGAUAUGCAUCGGCAACUUCAAGGCACUUUUGGCAAGAGAAAUUAGUCUCCUGUGAAAAUAUUCUGUGAUGACAAAAAGGUCGGUAUCUGUACUGGUGUUUGUGUCUUUUGGUCAAAAAGUCUGAGGUAGUUUAUCAAUUCAACCAUGCACAAGUGUGAUUUUUUAUCUCUGAUAGCCACAGAUCUUAAUCUUUUUUUCAUUAUUUGCAAUUUAAUCUGUUGUGGAGAGUAGGAAGUAGUCAAAAUAAAUUGGUAGAUGUGUUCUUCCAUGACCUAAUCUAGUCUAUGCUACGCAAUAAAAAAGUUGACCGUGCUUAAAGAAUGAGAUCAAGGAGCCUUAAGGAAUGAUCUGAUGCUACAAAGCAGUCAAAGGUAAGUAAUGAAAGGUUUCAUGUAUAUACGAGAGAAAACAUCGAAAACAUUAGCUGUCUCACAAAUGGUGUGCUAAUUGAGGAGGAGGAAGACUUACCAUAUUUCUUGUCAGGACAAAAUCAGUCCUGGAUCUCAAGGUGUUGCAGAAAUGGAAGCGUAGCCCGGAAAUUGAAGAAGAAUCGUGCAAGGGAUCAUGAAGACGAUACCGAGCGCAUGAUCGUAUACACUAUCAGGAAGACGAUAGUAGGAACGGGAAUUAUCAAUGAAAGAAAAUUGUAUAUAAUGGACUUGGCCAUGAAACCAAGGCAAAAUCUGGCAGGGUUCGGGGAAUCGGUCAUGUCACACCAAACAUCCCCACUCUACAGCUGUCGAGACCUUAAUCCACGUGUUCAUUGCUGUUUGGACGAUUGAACGUCUAUCUCGCCAUUUUUUUUUUCAUG